CUUCCACAGAGGCCUCCGUGUAGGCCGCAGUGAAGCCUGAACUCGAGUAGGGCCCAAGCAAGCCAGGAAGGAGGAGGCAGCCAGAGUGUUCUCUGCAGCAGAAGACCCCUUGCUGCCCUGCUUAACCCAGACCAGCAUUUGCCAGAAAUAUUCAUCUUUGCCCCUACACUGAGAAAGACAUGAACAAUAACAACUCAGAGAACAAAAUAUAGCUCCUCAGUGAAUGCUCAGAUGCCAGUAAGAAAUAGAAACUGAAGACGAUGCCAAAAGUUCCCUCUAGAUGGAUCUGUUGGACACAAAGGGGAAGUGGAUACAAUGCCCACAUGUUUGUUUUUUGCAGCGUCAAAUUAUACAUGAGGAAAAAAGAGCUUAAAGCUCAGACUAACCUGAAGAGAAAAGUGAUAUAAGGCAGUAACAAGUCUGACCUUUGGGGUAAGUGAGAUGGGUGGUCAUGCAGGGCCACUGAGCUGAGUUUGCACAAGUCACCAACUUGGCUUCACUGAUACUUGAACCAUGGGGGUGGGGGCAAAGGCACUCCUUGCUCAGGACAGUAAUCUGUGGCUGUAUCCAUAAAAGAAGACCUCAAGAAGGUGGACAGAAAACCAGUGCUUAUUUUAUCACCUCCCAUGGGGUAAAGUUUUGAUGUUAAAAAGUGACCAUGCAGAUACUUGUAACCACCAUAAUAAAGAGAGCAGAAGAUCCCUUCAUGAAUGCUGAAGUUUAGGAAGCCUGUGAGUAAUUAUGUGAGUAAACAAAACCUA